rnacentral:ncRNA from 1 species
AUGCCGGGAGAAACCGCGGUUUUUCCGGCGGGGCCGAAGGGGUAAUACUCUCAGGCAAAAGGACCGGUA